GGAGAGGUGUCUGAGCGGUCUAAAGAAACAGUUUACUAAACUGUCGACCCUUUAUUGGGUCCGAGGGUUCGAAUCCCUCCCUCUCCG
rnacentral:tRNA from 1 species